AAAGUAAUUGUGUUUUUUGCUAUUGUGUUCAGUGGCAAAAACUGCAAUUACUUUUGC
rnacentral:miRNA from 1 species